AGCGAACGCUGGCGGCAGGCCUAUCACAUGCAAGUCGAACGAAGUCUUCGGACUUAGUGGCGGACGGGUGAGUAACACGUGGGAACGUACCUUUUGGUUCGGAACAACUCAGGGAAACUUGAGCUAAUACCGGAUGAGCCCUUAGGGGGAAAGAUUUAUCGCCGAAAGAGCGGCCCGCGUUAGAUUAGCUAGUUGGUGAGGUAAAGGCUCACCAAGGCUACGAUCUAUAGCUGGUCUGAGAGGAUGAUCAGCCACACUGGAACUGGGACACGGCCAAGACUCAGACGGGAGGCAGCAGUGGGGAAUCUUACGCAAUGGGCGAAAGCCUAACGCAGCCAUGCCGCGUGAAUGAUGAAGGUCUUAGGAUUGUAAAAUUCUUUUACCAGGGACGAUAAUGACGGUACCUGGAGAAAAAGCCCCGGCUAACUUCGUGCCAGCCGCCGCAGUAAAAC
rnacentral:rRNA from 1 species